AUUGAACGCUGGCGGCAUGCCUUACACAUGCAAAUCGAACGGUAACGGGCCUUCGGGUGCCGACGAGUGGCGAACGGGUGAGUAAUACAUCGGAACGUGCCCGAUCGUGGGGGAUAACGAGGCGAAAGCUUUGCUAAUACCGCAUACGAUCUACGGAUGAAAGCAGGGGACCGCAAGGCCUUGCGCGGACGGAGCGGCCGAUGGCAGAUUAGGUAGUUGGUGGGAUAAAAGCUUACCAAGCCGACGAUCUGUAGCUGGUCUGAGAGGAUGAUCAGCCACACUGGGACUGAGACACGGCCCAGACUCCUACGGGAGGCAGCAGUGGGGAAUGUUGGACAAUGGGCGCAAGCCUGAUCCAGCCAUGCCGCGUGCAGGAUGAAGGCCUUCGGGUUGUAAACUGAUUUUGUACGGAACGAAAAGCCUUCUUUUAAUACAGGAGGGUCAUGACGGUACCGUAAGAAUAAGCACCGGCUAACUACGUG
rnacentral:rRNA from 1 species